GUGUCAGUAAAGGUCCUCAGCAACUGCUUGAGGGUGCCAUUAAAACGCUUGCAGAGACUGUUAGUCUGGGGGUGGUAAGGCGAACUGAGCAGCGGUUUAAUGCUGCACACCUUCCACAGCUGCUGGGUGAGCACAGCGGUAAACUGGGUUCCCUGAUCGGAGAGAAUCUCCUUAGGGAACCCUACCCUAGUAAAAACCUUAACCAGG